rnacentral:rRNA from 1 species
CAGUCGCCGCGGUAAUACGAAGGGUGCAAGCGUUAAUCGGAAUUACUGGGCGUAAAGCGUGCGUAGGCGGUGAGUUAAGUCUGCUGUGAAAUCCCCGGGCUCAACCUGGGAAUGGCAAUGGAUACUGGCAAGCUAGAGUGUGUCAGAGGAUGGUGGAAUUCCCGGUGUAGCGGUGAAAUGCGUAGAGAUCGGGAGGAACAUCAGUGGCGAAGGCGGCCAUCUGGGACAACACUGACGCUGAGGCACGAAAGCGUGGGGAGCAAACGGGAUUAGAUACCCCUGUAGUCCCUGUCUCUUAUAC